UAUAUAAAAGCAGCUAUUUUUAGAGCUUCUAAAAGGUGCCAUGUAGGACAAGAUAUUCCCCACCAAUCAAGCUGCCAAGUCAUCUCGGAUGUUUAACUGACAGGCCCAAACCAUUACAGCAGUCCAUUUGCAAAGGUUUCUGUUUGUCUUUCCAACUCUGGGCUUAACAGCAAAAAUAUUCAUUAAAAAAAGCUCUAUAGUCUCUUGACUCUAACCUCAGCUGCUAAUAGACCUUUAACAUUCUUCCUCUCAGAAAUCACCCGUUACAAUAUGGAGUCGUUUAUCACAGCAAAUAUCCCCGUUAAUUUCUUCCCCAAUGAUAAAACCGUCAACUAUUUGGCUUCCCCUCACCAAUUCUAUAAAAGCUGGCAUAGUUGGAAAGCAUGAUCUCUCUAACAACAAGCUUCUGGUCAGAAAAGCUUAGGAAAUUUGCCGCCUUUCUGACGCUCAGUUCAAUCAUCCAUCAUCGGCGUUGUAAGACAUCACUGGUAUUUGACUCCGUUUCAUCUAUGUUAUCAUUGGAUUUGACUGGGUGAGAUCUGUAAAGAUGUGAUCUAUCUGAAAAUUGAAGCCUAUCAAAAAUUCACAAUUGAAUCAGCUUCAGUUGUGGGUAUAUCUAAAGUAUCUUACUUUUACUUACACCCGUGUCUAUUCCAUGUUGUAGAUUAUUUUCAAAAUACAUGCAGCGAUUAAGUUGAGUCGUAUGUCCGAAAAGGCAUUCACGAGAAUUCAAUAGCCUGCAAAACAUUAGUAAUAAAACGAGAUCGUUCACUUGAAUUACAAAUAUUUUCAUGAAUCUGUUUGUUUAGUUGAUUAAAAAUGUGCAUUUCAGGAUUAAGCUUAAUAUAAAAGCACUAGCAGUUCAGAGUGGCCGAGGAAGAGUAAUCAAAUCCGAGCAAAACAUGUUAUCUUUGUUAUCAGUUUGACAUGUAUUUGAUUGGACAAUCUUGAAGUAUCCACAGUUUGGCUCUAGCUCCACUCUAGCUCAAAACCAAGAUCGAGUCUUACACGUUAACCAGCUUUGUAUCCUCCAGUGCCAUCUGGUGAGAGACCAGAGAAACCUUCGGAACCUGCAAACCUGUAGCUUUGGCUAAGUUGAUGAAGAAGCAAGAGAGUAAGAAGGAAUUAAAUGAUGAAUAGCAAACUUACUGGCUGUUCCAACAGAUAAUUGUCAAGGUGAUGUGUCAAGCUCUGGUCUGGUAGAGACUAAAGAAAUGGUAUUAUAAGCAAAAAGGCGGAGUGAGGAAAGUGAUUGAUAAUUGUAUACUUGAGUCAACAAUAAAAAUUUAUAUAUUCUAUACAUUUGAUUUUGGCA